rnacentral:rRNA from 1 species
UGGGGAAUUGUUCGCAAUGGGCGCAAGCCUGACGACGCAACGCCGCGUGGAGGACGAAGAUCUUCGGGUCGUAAACUCCUGUCGAGCGGGACGAACACUACUCGGGCGAAUAUCCCGAGUGGCUGACGGUACCGCUAAAGGAAGCCCCGGCUAACUCCGUGCCAGCAGCCGCGGUAAUACGGGGGGGGCAAGCGUUGUUCGGAAUUACUGGGCGUAAAGGGCUCGUAGGCGGCCAACUAAGUCAAACGUGAAAUCCCUCGGCUCAACCGGGGAACUGCGUCUGAUACUGGAUGGCUUGAAUUCGGGAGAGGGAUGCGGAAUUCCAGGUGUAGCGGUGAAAUGCGUAGAUAUCUGGAGGAACACCGGUGGCGAAGGCGGCAUCCUGGACCGACAUUGACGCUGAGGAGCGAAAGCCAGGGGAGCAAACGGG